rnacentral:rRNA from 1 species
GACGUAGGGCGCGAGCGUUGUCCGGAUUUAUUGGGCGUAAAGAGCUCGUAGGCGGUGUGUCACGUCGGCCGUGAAAACCUGCAGCUUAACUGUGGGCGUGCGGUCGAUACGGGCAUCACUGGAGUUCGGCAGGGGAGACUGGAAUUCCUGGUGUAGCGGUGAAAUGCGCAGAUAUCAGGAGGAACACCGGUGGCGAAGGCGGGUCUCUGGGCCGAUACUGACGCUGAGGAGCGAAAGCGUGGGGAGCAAACAGG